rnacentral:rRNA from 1 species
AUGAACGCUGGCGGCGUGCCUAAUACAUGCAAGUCGAGCGAACAGACGAGGAGCUUGCUCCUCUGACGUUAGCGGCGGACGGGUGAGUAACACGUGGAUAACCUACCUAUAAGACUGGGAUAACUUCGGGAAACCGGAGCUAAUACCGGAUAAUAUAUUGAACCGCAUGGUUCAAUAGUGAAAGACGGUUUUGCUGUCACUUAUAGAUGGAUCCGCGCCGCAUUAGCUAGUUGGUAAGGUAACGGCUUACCAAGGAGACGAUGCGUAGCCGACCUGAGAGGGUGAUCGGCCACACUGGAACUGAGACACGGUCCAGACUCCUACGGGAGGCAGCAGUAGGGAAUCUUCCGCAAUGGGCGAAAGCCUGACGGAGCAACGCCGCGUGAGUGAUGAAGGUCUUCGGAUCGUAAAACUCUGUUAUUAGGGAAGAACAAAUGUGUAAGUAACUAUGCACGUCUUGACGGUACCUAAUCAGAAAGCCACGGCUAACUACGUG